rnacentral:rRNA from 1 species
AUGCACGCUGGCGGCGUGCCUCAUCCAUGCCAGUCGAGCGAACGGACGAGAAGCUUGCUUCUCUGAUGUUAGCGGCGGACGGGUGAGUAACACGUGGAUAACCUACCUAUAAGACUGGGAUAACUUCGGGAAACCGGAGCUAAUACCGGAUGAUAUUUUGAACCGCAUGGUUCAAAAGUGAAAGACGGUCUUGCUGUCACUUAUAGAUGGAUCCGCGCUGCAUUAGCUAGUUGGUAAGGUAACGGCUUACCAAGGCAACGAUGCAUAGCCGACCUGAGAGGGUGAUCGGCCACACUGGAACUGAGACACGGUCCAGACUCCUACGGGAGGCAGCAGUAGGGAAUCUUCCGCAAUGGGCGAAAGCCUGGCGGAGCAACGCCGCGUGAGUGAUGAAGGUCUUCGGAUCGUAAAACUCUGUUAUUAGGGAAGAACAUAUGUGUAAGUAACUGUGCACAUCUUGACGGUACCUAAUCAGAAAGCCACGGCUAACUACGUG